AGGGUCGAUUCUGGCUCAGGAUGAACGCUAGCUACAGGCUUAACACAUGCAAGUCGAGGGGCAGCGAGAAGAAAGCUGCUUCUUGUCGGCGACCGGCGCACGGGUGAGUAACGCGUAUCCAACCUUCCCUAUAGUAGAGAAUAGCCCGGCGAAAGUCGGAUUAAUGCUCUAUGUUGUAUUUUGCGGACAUCUAACGAAUACCAAAGGUUUACCGCUAUAGGAUGGGGAUGCGUCUGAUUAGGUUGUUGGCGGGGUAACGGCCCACCAAGCCGUCGAUCAGUAGGGGUUCUGAGAGGAACGGUCCCCCACAUUGGAACUGAGACACGGUCCAAACUCCGUACGGGAGGCAGCAGUGAGGAAUAUUGGUCAAUGGAACGGAAGUCUCGAACCAGCCAAGUAGCGUGCAGGAUGACCGGCCCUAGUGGGUUAGUAAACUGUCUUUUAUACGAGGGAAUAAAGUCGGGGACGUGUUCCCGUUUGUAGGUACUGUAUGAAUAAGGACCGGCUAAUUCCGUGCCAGCAGCAGC
rnacentral:rRNA from 1 species